GUUGAUUCUGCCGGAGGUUACUGCUAUCGAGGUUCGACUAAGCCAUGCGAGUCGAAUGUAGCAAUACAUGGCGUACUGCUCAGUAACACGUGGAUAACCUACCCUUGAGAUGGGGAUAAACCCGGGAAACUGGGUAUAAUACCCGAUAGAUCUCGAAGGCUGGAAUGCAUCGAGAUCGAAAGCUCCGGCGCCUAAGGAUGGGUCUGCGGCCUAUCAGGUAGUAGUGGGUGUAACGUACCUACUAGCCUACGACGGGUACGGGUUGUGAGAGCAAGAGCCCGGAGAUGGAUUCUGAGACACGAAUCCAGGCCCUACGGGGUGCAGCAGGCGCGAAAACUUUACACUGCGGGAAACCGCGAUAAGGGGACCCCGAGUGCCAGCACCUAGUGCUGGCUGUCCAGCUGUCCAAAUAACAGUUGUUAGCAAGGGCCGGGCAAGACCGGUGCCAGCCGCCGCGGUAACACCGGCGGCUCGAGUGGUAACCGUUAUUACUGGGCUUAAAGCGUUCGUAGCUGGUUUGUUAAGUCUCUGGGGAAAUCUGCCGGCUCAACCGGCAGGAGUUCCAGGGAUACUGGCAGACUAGGGACCGGGAGAGGUGUGGGGUACUCCAGGGGUAGGAGUGAAAUCCUGUAAUCCUUGAAGGACCACCAGUGGCGAAGGCGUCUCACCAGAACGGACCUGACGGCAAAGGACGAAAGCUAGGGGCACGAACCGGAUUAGAUACCCGGGUAGUCCUAGCCGUAAACGAUACUCGCUAGGUGUCGGCCACGGUGCGACCGUUGUCGGUGCCGUAGGGAAGCCGUGAAGCGAGCCACCUGGGAAGUACGGCCGCAAGGCUGAAACUUAAAGGAAUUGGCGGGGGAGCACCACAAC
rnacentral:rRNA from 1 species